GGCCCCUUAGCUCAGUGGUUAGAGCAGGUGACUCAUAAUCGCUUGGUCGCUGGUUCAAGUCCAGCAGGGGCCA
rnacentral:tRNA from 1 species